AUUUCAGAGGUGGCUAAACUGGCAAGAUGGUGAGAAUCAAGGUCAGCUAAGGACAGAGAGACCCAGCUAUGUGUCAGCUAAGUUUGCAGCAUCACUGAAAACGAUGCACUCUCCUGCCAAGUCCCAUCUUUGGGAAGGAGGAAAUUGAUUAGAUCCAGGAGGUUUUCAUAAAUGCAGCAAGUGACUUUCUCAGCAUCAUCUGAAACAUUUGGUCCCAAUUCUUGGGAAAGGCCUAAGAAUUGCUCUGGCUUGGUGACAUGUCCACAUCCUCAAUCCAACAUCUGA
rnacentral:lncRNA from 1 species